rnacentral:rRNA from 1 species
AGAGUUUGAUCAUGGCUCAGAAUGAACGCUGGCGGCGUGCUUUACACAUGCAAGUCGAGCGAGGCCAGGUAGCAAUACCUGAGUCGAGCGGCGAACGGGUGAGUAACACGUGGAUAACCUACCCUGAGGUGGGGAACAACCAGGGGAAACUCUGGCUGAUACCGCAUGAUACCGAGAGGUCAAAGGGGGCUCGCAAGGGCUCUCGCCACAGGAGGGGUCCGCGUCCGAUUAGCUAGUUGGUAGGGUAACGGCCUACCAAGGCGACGAUCAGUAUCCGGCCUGAGAGGGCGGACGGACACACUGGGACUGAGACACGGCCCAGACUCCUACGGGAGGCAGCAGUGGGGAAUUGUUCGCAAUGGGCGCAAGCCUGACGACGCAACGCCGCGUGGAGGACGAAGAUCUUCGGGUCGUAAACUCCUGUCGAGCGGGACGAACACCCAUCCGGUGAAUAUCCGGGAGGGCUGACGGUACCGCUAAAGGAAGCCCCGGCUAACUCCGUGCCAGCCGCCGCGGUAAUAC